UAGUUACCGAGAAAUCAUUCAGGGACGCC
rnacentral:piRNA from 1 species